rnacentral:rRNA from 1 species
UACGUAGGGUGCGAGCGUUGUCCGGAAUUAUUGGGCGUAAAGAGCUCGUAGGCGGUCUGUUGCGUCGGCUGUGAAAACCCGGGGCUCAACCCCGGGACUGCGUCCGAUACUUCCGAGCUGGAGGUAGGUAGGGGAGAUCGGAAUUCCUGGUGUAGCGGUGAAAUGCGCAGAUAUCAGGAGGAACACCGGUGGCGAAGGCGGAUCUCUGGGCCUUACCUGACGCUGAGGCGCGAAAGCUAGGGGAGCGAACAGG